rnacentral:tRNA from 1 species
GCGUUCAUACUCAGUUGUUGUGAGCACCCACCACCUGACAUGGUGGGGUCGUUGGCUCGAGUCCAAUUGAACGCACCA